GGUAAGGUGGCUGAGACAGGCGUCGGGUUGUAGCUCCGAGUAUAAGGGUCAAGUCCCUUUCUUACCA
rnacentral:tRNA from 1 species